GAAUGUAAGCCAGUGGUCCAUAGUUAGUGCUAAGUAAAUACUAGUUGCUUAUCCUUGCCAUAAUUGUCACCACCAUCACCACCACCGUCAUCGCCAUCAUCACCACCACCAUCACUGCUUGAGGGAAUCUGUGGGGAUCGCUCCCGUGUGAGGCCCCUGGGAAAUGGGCCUCGCCAUACGGUGAGCUUGAGCCCAGACACAGAUCCCUGGUUGGGGGAGUCGAGCUGAGGGAAAGCAGGAACCGAGAGAGGGACUAUGUUAUUCUAAAUAAUUAACAGACAUUACUUUAUGGAUAUGAGGACUUGGGAGGCAUUGUGUCCACUUUGGCUUCUUAUGGUUUAUUGCUUGACUGUGUUCAUUUUGGACCCUUGUUACCUUCAUUGUAGAAUAUUAACUUAAGUAUUUACACUUGGUAACUUACUUACCGUAACUUACUGGGUGUAACUGUAACUUACUUCUCAUAGCUUACUGGGCGUGACUGUAACUUACUUAGAUUGAUCUACUGGGAGUAACCUAAUUACUGAAAGUAACCUACUUACUGAAAGUAACCUACUUACUGGGCGUAACCUACUUAAUGGAUUAACUUACUGGGCAUAACUUAGUGGGCGUAACUUGCUUACUGUAACUUAAGUACGUUGAUCUGGUGUAAACAACUUUGACUUCAGAAAAGUAUAUAAGGAAACAUAUUGCAAAAAUAAAAUUGCUGCUUGGACAUAGCCUAAGCCAGCCCUCCAGACUCCACUUUUCUAUUUUCUUUCACUUCCGCGCACUCUCUCCCUCAGGUUGAACGAGACAUCUACGUUGGCGGUCUUGGGGACUCCUGCAGGGGAAGAAAAUUACUACUAUCCUUACUUGGUGAGAAGAGGAAGUGGCUCCAAUAAGCGGUGUAGGGCUCUGGGUCAGGUCUCCAGAGGAGUCUACAGUGGUUUACUAGCUCAGCAAAGAAGAGGAGGACAUCUUGCCGACAUCACUGCAGUCGGAACAAGUUACCAUAUUUUGUUCUCAUUUGAAUAAGAAGUACAUGAGGAAAAAGAAAUAUUUCCUGGACUUGUAUGUACUUUGCUUUCACAAGUAUUUCCUUUGUAAGUUGAUAUUCCCCCAGUGGCCUCCUACCAAAAACAGCAGUCUCUUUGUGUGCCCUUGGACAUGAGCAGGUGGCACCAGGCCCACAGAACCCUGACAAGGGUGUGGAAGGACAGGAAUGGAAAGAAAACAAACAUGAGAAACAAAAUCUCCUAAGAAGAUCUUUCAGAGUUUAUCUUGUCAACCACCUGCAAGAGAUGGAGAAGCAGAACAAAGCCCAUUAAGGUCUAUGAUGGCAUUUUAACAAGAGUGUGGCAGACAAUUUCAUUCCCUGUGUUCUGACAUGUACUAUUUUUCACACUCAGCAAUCAACACCCAUGUUCUCUCUUCAUUUUUGUUAGUGAUUCAAAGUGUACUCUUACAAUUUUUUGCCAUAUGUGCUAUCUAUGCACACAUACUUAAAUCUGUAAAAUCAUAAUAGCACUUUGAUGGAAUCAUGCUGUCUCUCAAUGGAAUCUAAUUGGUAAUUUGCCUCUAAUUUUUAUAGUUACUUGAAUCCUAGAAUAGUCUGCAAGCCCAUGGUCUCAACAUAAUAAUACCGUAAUUACCAUAAAUAAUACUUUGAUGAAUCACAGCUUCUUUAUUCCUUUCUCUUUGACCAACAUUAUUUCUAACUUAGCACUGAUAUCUUCAUACUGCUUUUUUGCUUACCAGACUGAU
ensembl:lncRNA